CCUACGGGUGGCAGCAGUGAGGAAUAUUGGUCAAUGGGCGAGAGCCUGAACCAGCCAAGUCGCGUGAAGGAUGACGGCCCUACGGGUUGUAAACUUCUUUUGUCAGGGAGCAAUUGGGUCCACGCGUGGGCUUAGCGAGAGUACCUGAAGAAAAAGCAUCGGCUAACUCCGUGCCAGCAGCCGCGGUAAUACGGAGGAUGCGAGGGUUAUCCGGAUUUAUUGGGGUUAAAGGGUGCGUAGGCGGGCUGUUAAGUCAGCGGUCAAAUGUCGGGGCUCAACCCCGGCCUGCCGUUGAAACGGGCGGCGUCGAGUGGGCGAGAAGUAUGCGGGAUGCGUGGUGUAGCGGUGAAAUGCAGAG
rnacentral:rRNA from 1 species